GGGGUGGUAGUGUAGUUGGUCAUCACACUCUCCUACAAACCGAGAAACCCGAGUUCGAAUCUUGGCCACCCCC
rnacentral:tRNA from 1 species